rnacentral:rRNA from 1 species
ACUCCUACGGGAGGCAGCAGUGGGGAAUCUUGGACAAUGGGGGCAACCCUGAUCCAGCCAUGCCGCGUGAGUGAUGAAGGCCGUUAGGGUCGUAAAGCUCUUUCGUCCUGUGAUGAUAAUGACAGUAGCAGGUAACGAAACCCGGCUAACUCCGUGCCAGCAGCCGCGGUAAUACGGAGGGGUUAGCGUUGUUCGGAAUUACUGGGCGUAAAGCGCGCGUAGGCGGAUUAGUCAGUUAGAGGUGAAAUCCCAGGGCUCAACCUGGAACUGCCUUUAAUACUGCUAGUCUUGAGUUCGAGAGAGGUGAGUGGAAUUCCGAGUGUAGA